CGAACUUCCGUUAAUUGAUUAUGACGUACUUGUACUGAUUGAGAUUUUAACACGAAGUGAGUGGCGAACGGGUGAGUAACACGUGGGUAACCUGCCCAGAAGUAGGGGAUAACACCUGGAAACAGAUGCUAAUACCGUAUAACAGAGAAAACCGCAUGGUUUUCUUUUAAAAGAUGGCUCUGCUAUCACUUCUGGAUGGACCCGCGGCGUAUUAGCUAGUUGGUGAGGUAAAGGCUCACCAAGGCAGUGAUACGUAGCCGACCUGAGAGGGUAAUCGGCCACAUUGGGACUGAGACACGGCCCAGACUCCUACGGGAGGCAGCAGUAGGGAAUCUUCCACAAUGGACGCAAGUCUGAUGGAGCAACGCCGCGUGAGUGAAGAAGGGUUUCGGCUCGUAAAGCUCUGUUGUUAAAGAAGAACGUGGGUAAGAGUAACUGUUUACCCAGUGACGGUAUUUAACCAGAAAGCCACGGCUAACUACGUGCCAGCAGCCGCGGUAAUACGUAGGUGGCAAGCGUUAUCCGGAUUUAUUGGGCGUAAAGCGAGCGCAGGCGGUCUUUUAAGUCUAAUGUGAAAGCCUUCGGCUCAACCGAAGAAGUGCAUUGGAAACUGGGAGACUUGAGUGCAGAAGAGGACAGUGGAACUCCAUGUGUAGCGGUGAAAUGCGUAGAUAUAUGGAAGAACACCAGUGGCGAAGGCGGCUGUCUGGUCUGCAACUGACGCUGAGGCUCGAAAGCAUGGGUAGCGAACAGGAUUAGAUACCCUGGUAGUCCAUGCCGUAAACGAUGAUUACUAAGUGUUGGAGGGUUUCCGCCCUUCAGUGCUGCAGCUAACGCAUUAAGUAAUCCGCCUGGGGAGUACGACCGCAAGGUUGAAACUCAAAAGAAUUGACGGGGGCCCGCACAAGCGGUGGAGCAUGUGGUUUAAUUCGAAGCUACGCGAAGAACCUUACCAGGUCUUGACAUCUUCUGACAGUCUAAGAGAUUAGAGGUUCCCUUCGGGGACAAAUGACAGGUGUGCAUGGUUGUCGUCAGCUCGUGUCCNGNANGUUGGGUAAAGUCCNCAACGAGCGCAACCCUUAUUACUAGUUGCCAGCAUAAGUUGGGCNUCUA
rnacentral:rRNA from 1 species